UAGUGAAAACAAAUUUUGGUCCUAAAAGUCUUUGUAGUUGUAUUUUAAGUCUUGUUUCAGGAUUCUAGUCAGUCUGCUGUUUCAAUACUAGUAUCUGACUUAGCAGAAUUCAGUAUCUCCUUGCUAUUGACAGACAGAUGGCAAGACAUAUUUUUAAAUAAGCCAAAAAUUAGAAAAUUUUCAGUUUUUUUCGCUUCCACAGUGAUAAAUAUGAAAGAAUACUGCCCAAAAUUGAACCCGGGAAAUUUUUUUUAUUAAAAUUGGUCAAAUGAGAGGAAAACAAGCAAAUGAUAAACACCACCAAACAAAAUCCAUGGCCGACCUUCAAAAAAUCAUAACAACAUAACAGCAUUGCAACCUAAUGUGAUAAUUUGUCACAACUUCUCAAAAUUUUGUCUAAAGGAAUAAAAAUCGCCAAUUAUACUUUUUUCAGGACGUAAAUAUCAAUCAGAGUUUUAACUAUAAAAAUUAAAAAAUUCACAAAUGAAGGAUGCCAACAAGAUGGAUGAGACAUUGAACGCCAGGCCAAUUUAUUCAAACAUUUAGACUGAAUUUGGGCACACGUCCAACGGUAAGUUUUACAUGUAAAGAACACGCUCACUAAUAGAAUUGUUGGAAAGGGUGACAUUUUUGGGUUUUAGGUGUCACUGGGCAAUUGAAGCCCUGAGAGGAGGAUAUAGCAAAACCAUAAGGACCAUGAGAUGACAACAUGAAAAAAUUAGAGUACACAAGAGACAAGGGAAGUAAAAACCUGGCCAGAGUACGUAGAAACGUGGAAUAAAAUAGCUUUCGCUGUCUCUGGGAAAUCGCAUGCUUGAGAGCAUUGAGAAGAGAAUCUCGCAGAAAGCAAAUAGACCAUGACAACAUGAACAACAAUCAAAGUAAAAAACUGACCAGAGGCCGAAGAAAAGUGAAAUAGAUAUAUGUAAAAACAGAUGGUUACCGUUGCCUUUGAUUAAAGUUUAACAUAUAAAGUACGUCUUUGUUAAUAGAAUUGUUGAAAAUAGUGACUUUUUGGGUUUUAGUUGUCACUGGGAAAUUGCAUGCCUGAAAGGAGGUUCCAGCAUAAAGCAUACGGACCAUGAAAUGACAACAUGAAAAUACAGAACACAAGAGACAAGGGAAGUGCAAACCUGACCAGAAGAUGUAGAAAGCUGACACUGAGAAACCACAUACAUGAGAGGAGAAUCUAGCAUAAACCAUAUGGAACAUGAGAUGACAACAUGAAAAGAAAAUAGUACACGAAAGGGAAGGGGAGUAAAAUCCUGAUGAAAGGCCGUAGAAAGGUGAAAUACAACAGAGAUAUAAAAAACGG